GGCCUUGUCGUCCAGCGGUUAAGACACAUCCUUGACGUGGAUGAGACUCAGGUUCGACUCCUGGCAGGGCCA
rnacentral:tRNA from 1 species